rnacentral:rRNA from 1 species
CCCUUAGAUGUCCGGGGCCGCACGCGCGCCACACUGAAGGAAUCAGCGUGGCUUUCUCCCUGACCCGAAAGGGUUGGGAAACCCGUUGAAUCUCCUUCGUGAUAGGGAUUGGGGCUUGAAAUUGUUCCCCAUGAACGAGGAAUUCCCAGUAAGCGCGAGUCAUAAGCUCGCGUUGAUUACGUCCCUGCCCUUUGUACACACCGCCCGUCGCUACUACCGAUUGAACGGUUUAGUGAGGGCCUCGGAUUGGUCUCGGCCCGCUCUUUACCGGGCGGCGCCGUUGGUCGAGAAGACGCUCGAACUUGAUCGUUUAGAGGAAGUAAAAGUCGUAACA